rnacentral:rRNA from 1 species
AUUGAACGCUGGCGGCAGGCCUAACACAUGCAAGUCGAACGGUAACAGGAAGCAGCUUGCAGCUUUGCUGACGAGUGGCGGACGGGUGAGUAAUGUCUGGGAAACUGCCUGAUGGAGGGGGAUAACUACUGGAAACGGUAGCUAAUACCGCAUAACGUCGCAAGACCAAAGAGGGGGACCUUCGGGCCUCUUGCCAUCGGAUGUGCCCAGAUGGGAUUAGCUUGUUGGUGGGGUAACGGCUCACCAAGGCGACGAUCCCUAGCUGGUCUGAGAGGAUGACCAGCCACACUGGAACUGAGACACGGUCCAGACUCCUACGGGAUGCAGCAGUGGGGAAUAUUGCACAAUGGGCGCAAGCCUGAUGCAGCCAUGCCGCGUGUAUGAAGAAGGCCUUCGGGUUGUAAAGUACUUUCAGCGGGGAGGAAGGGAGUAAAGUUAAUACCUUUACUCAUUUACGUUACCCGCAGAAGAAGCACCGUCUAACUCCGUG